rnacentral:rRNA from 1 species
CAGUAACGGCGAGUGAAGCGGCAACAGCUCAAAUUUGAAAUCUGGCCUCGGCCCGAGUUGUAAUUUGCAGAGGAAGCUUUAGGUGCGGUCCCAACUGAGUCCCCUGGAACGGGGCGCCACAGAGGGUGAGAGCCCCGUAUAGUUGGACGCCUAGCCUGUGUAAAGCUCCUUCGACGAGUCGAGUAGUUUGGGAAUGCUGCUCAAAAUGGGAGGUAAAUUUCUUCUAAAGCUAAAUACCGGCCAGAGACCGAUAGCGCACAAGUAGAGUGAUCGAAAGAUGAAAAGCACUUUGAAAAGAGGGUUAAAUAGCACGUGAAAUUGUUGAAAGGGAAGCGCUUGUGACCAGACUUGCGCCGGGCUGAUCAUCCGGUGUUCUCACCGGUGCACUCUGCCCGGCUCAGGCCAGCAUCGGUUCUCGCGGGGGGACAAAGGCUCCGGGAACGUAGCUCCUCCGGGAGUGUUAUAGCCCGGGGCGUAAUGCCCCCGCGGGGACCGAGGACCGCGCUCU